CAAAGGCAUGGUCCUGACCUUACUGUCAACUUUAGCCCAACUUACACAUGCAAGUCUCCGCAGCCCCGUGAGUACGCCCUCAAUCCCCUGCUUGGGGACAAGGAGCGGGCAUCAGGCACAAAUUUUUAGCCCAAGACGCCUAGCCUGGCCACACCCCCAAGGGAAUUCAGCAGUGAUAAACAUUAAGCCAUUAGUGAAAACUUGACUCAGUCAGGGUUAAGAGGGCCGGUAAAACUCGUGCCAGCCACCGCGGUUAAACGAGAGGCCCCAGUUGACAGUACCACGGCGUAAAGGGUGGUUAAGGAUAACAUUAAAUUUUUUAAAGCCAAAUGGCCCCUUGGCCGUCAUACGCUUCUAGGUGUCCGAAGCCCAAUUAAACGAAAGUAGCUUUAAUAACCCCGCCUGAUCCCACGAAAGCUGAGAAACAAACUGGGAUUAGAUAGCCCACUAUGCUCAGCCAUAAACCCAGAUGUCUAACUACAAUUUAACAUCCGCCAGGGUACUACGAGCAUUAGCUUAAAACCCAAAGGACCUGACGGUGCCUUAGACCCCCCUAGAGGAGCCUGUUCUAGAACCGAUAACCCCCGUUAAACCUCACCACUUCUAGCCAUCCCAGCCUAUAUACCGCCGUCGCCAGCUUACCCUGUGAAGGUAUUAAAAGUAAGCAAAACGGGUACAACCCAGUACGUCAGGUCGAGGUGUAGCGCACGAAGUGGGAAGAAAUGGGCUACAUUUUCUACCACAUAGAAUACUACGAAUGUGCAACAUGAAAUAGUGCUUGAAGGAGGAUUUAGUAGUAAAAAGGAAGCAGAGCGUCCUUUUGAACCCGGCUCUAAGGCGCGUACACACCGCCCGUCACUCUCCCCUGUCAACAUGCAAUAAAAAUUUAUAAUACAAAAGCACCGACAAGGGGAGGCAAGUCGUAACAUGGUAAGUGUACCGGAAGGUGCACUUGGAUAAAACC
rnacentral:ncRNA from 1 species